UACGUAGGGUGCAAGCGUUAAUCGGAAUUACUGGGCGUAAAGCGUGCGCAGGCGGCUUUGCAAGACAGAUGUGAAAUCCCCGGGCUUAACCUGGGAACUGCAUUUGUGACUGCAUGGCUGGAGUGCGGCAGAGGGGGAUGGAAUUCCGCGUGUAGCAGUGAAAUGCGUAGAUAUGCGGAGGAACACCGAUGGCGAAGGCAGCCUUCUGGGCCACAACUGACGCUGAGGUACGAAAGCGUGGGGAGCAAACAGG
rnacentral:rRNA from 1 species